CUGCCAGUAGUCAUAUGCUUGUCUCAAAGAUUAAGCCAUGCAUGUCUCAGUACAAGCCAUAUUAAGGUGAAACCGCGAAAGGCUCAUUAAAUCAGUUAUGGUUCCUUAGAUCGUACCCACAUUUACUUGGAUAACUGUGGUAAUUCUAGAGCUAAUACAUGCAAACAGAGCUCCGACCGGAGACGGAAGGAGUGCUUUUAUUAGAUCAAAACCAAUCGGCGGCAAUUUAGUUUCGGCUUUAUUGUUCGUCGCACUUUUUGGUGACUCUGAAUAACUUUUGGCUGAUCGCACGGUCUCGCACCGGCGACGCAUCUUUCAAAUGUCUGCCUUAUCAACUGUCGAUGGUAGGUUCUGCGCCUACCAUGGUUGUAACGGGUAACGGGGAAUUAGGGUUCGAUUCCGGAGAGGGAGCCUGAGAAACGGCUACCACAUCCAAGGAAGGCAGCAGGCGCGCAAAUUACCCACUCCCGGCACGGGGAGGUAGUGACGAAAAAUAACGAUACGGGACUCAUCCGAGGCCCCGUAAUCGGAAUGAGUACACUUUAAAUCCUUUAACGAGGACCAAUUGGAGGGUAAGUCUGGUGCCAGCAGCCGCGGUAAUUCCAGCUCCAAUAGCGUAUA
rnacentral:rRNA from 1 species